rnacentral:SRP_RNA from 1 species
CGCAGGGUCCCACUCGAUCACGAGCCUCGUGAACCCGGUCAGGUCCGGAAGGAAGCAGCCGUAGCGGGGAUUCGGUUGCGAGCGGGGGUGCCCUGCGAUC